AUGGAAGAGAUAACUCGAUCUCCCAUCCAUGAUGUUGAUGUUCAUAAAGGUGCUUGGGGAAUUUUGACUCCUGUUCCUCCCUCACCUCUAUAUCUCCAUUAUGAUGAUACAACUUAUGGGAGUACUUUUCCUCCUUUGGCAGAUUAUGUCGCAUGGCCAUCCCUGCCUCACAUUUUUCCACUUGAGGAAGGGUCUAUGGAAGGGGGAGAGAACUUUAGUACUUAUACAGUUGAGUCUCCAUCUGGGUCCCCAACUCAAGAUAAUAUGAUUAUGAGGAAUAUGCUCCACGUAGGCAGAUGCAGAAACUGGAAAAAGCGGAGGAUGCGGCCACCAACAGGAUGA
rnacentral:rRNA from 1 species